GUCUAUGGCCAUGCCACCUUGAACACUCCUGAUCUCAUCUGACCUUGAAAGCUAAGCAAGAUUGGGCCUGAUUAGUACUUGGAUGAGAGACCGCCUAGGAAGACCAGGUGCUGUAGGCA
ensembl:rRNA 5S_rRNA 5S ribosomal RNA